rnacentral:snRNA from 2 species
GAGAAUUAGCUAUUUUAGUAUUUGUCCAGUAAGUUUCCUGAUGUAGGAAUACUUGU